rnacentral:misc_RNA from 1 species
AGUUGUGUACUCAGUAGCACCAAAGAUCAAUUCAGGAGCCCGAUAAUAACGAGAACAAAUGUAUGAUAUGUUGGGCUCUCCAGGCACCAACAUCUUUGCACUACCAAAAUCACAGAGCUUUAGCUGAUGCGAGUGGGGAUUAACCAAAAGAUUCUGUGGUUUAAUAUCACGAUGGCAUACACCAAGGACACCAUGCAUGUAAUUCAGAGCACGGCAUAUCUGGUAUGUGUAUAGCUGCACAUAUAUAUUGGGCAUGUGUUGGUUCAUUCUGCUGUAGUGCCUUGAUACUCGGUAAACAGUUUCAGACACGUAUUCCAGGACAAGGUUAAGGUAGACUUCAUUCUUCUCAGUAGUAGAAUAGAAGCAGUGUCGUAGUUUAACAACAUUAGGAUGAUCAAGUGUGCGCAUAAUCUGAAGUUCCCUGUUCUUGUAUCUCCUAUCCUGUAAGACCUUCUUUAUUGCAACAGAUUCACCAGUUUCCAAGCACUUAGCCUGAAAGACAACUCCAAAUGAACCAGUGCCAACCACGCGCUCCGCCAUGUAAGACAAUGUCUGUUUCUCUUGUCCAUUCCUACCACUCACAGUAGUCACAAUAAUCUGACCAGUUUCUGUUCCAUUUCCACUAACAACAGCAGGUUCCAUAUCCUUCAAAUUAUCAUCUAGACUAUCAGCUUUAUCAUCUUUUUCAUCCUUAAUUUUCAUUUCAUGCAUUUCUUUAGGAAGUUCAUCAAGUUCAGAAUUUUCAAGUCUAAUAUCCAUUGUUGAGGUACUUCCAGCAGUGGUUUCCAUAGAUGUAGAAGCCAUGUCUUCCUUUGGAACUGUAGUAGUUGUACAUCCCUCUUCCAUUUGAGUUUCACCAACCACUCUUUGAUCUACUUCUUUCUCAACCUUCACCCUCUUUAUGCUUGAAUCACCACCAGGAUCUGAAACAGAAGAACGUCCAGAAGCAAUGCUCUUAAGGCGACGCAUGACAUUCAUCUCUGCUUCGCCAAGAGCCCAAAAGAAAAACCCCUCUGAGCGGUCCUUGAAAAUUUUUCGAGAGUAAUUGAUAAGUCCUUCUCUUCUUCCUCAAACACCUGAAAAGUAUUUUUCUUCAAUGGUGAAGAUGGAGGAGGGAGAGAGAAAGAGAGAAAAACAAA